rnacentral:rRNA from 1 species
CAGUCGCCGCGGGAAAACGUAGGGUGCUAGCGUUAAUCGGAAUUACUGGGCGUAAAGCGUGCGUAGGCGGCUUCUUAAGUCGGAUGUGAAAUCCCUGAGCUUAACUUAGGAAUUGCAUUCGAUACUGGGAAGCUAGAGUAUGGGAGAGGAUGGUAGAAUUCCAGGUGUAGCGGUGAAAUGCGUAGAGAUCUGGAGGAAUACCGAUGGCGAAGGCAGCCAUCUGGCCUAAUACUGACGCUGAGGUACGAAAGCAUGGGGAGCAAACAGGAUUAGAUACCCGCGUAGUCCCUGUCUCUUAUAC